rnacentral:rRNA from 1 species
CAGCCGCCACGGGAAUACGUAGGGUGCAAGCGUUAAUCGGAAUUACUGGGCGUAAAGCGUGCGCAGGCGGUUAUAUAAGACAGAUGUGAAAUCCCCGGGCUCAACCUGGGAACUGCAUUUGUGACUGUAUAGCUAGAGUACGGCAGAGGGGGAUGGAAUUCCGCGUGUAGCAGUGAAAUGCGUAGAUAUGCGGAGGAACACCGAUGGCGAAGGCAAUCCCCUGGGCCUGUACUGACGCUCAUGCACGAAAGCGUGGGGAGCAAACAGGAUUAGAGACCCGCGUAGUCCCUGUCUCUUAUAC